CUGUCAGACCUGGAGACUGAAGCCCCCAUACCAGGUACAGCAUGGACAGCAGCAGUGCAAGUUUCCUCUCAAUGCCUCUCAAUAUAGGUCUCAGCUUUAAUCUGGGACAAGCAAUUUGGAGCAGAGACUAGUUCAGUAUCUGUACCCAUCUAGUCCCUGGCAAAU
rnacentral:sRNA from 1 species